rnacentral:lncRNA from 1 species
ACUUCCGUUUUCCGCUGCCGCGGGACGGGCGCGCUCCUCUCGAGCACUGGCCCGGCGCCUCCCGUGCGGAACCCUCUGUCGCCCGCACGCUUCGUCCUCGCGGGAAUUCUGGCCGUUCCCAACGGAUCAGCCCGGGUGGCCCCCGCGCGGACUUUUUAAAAACUUGACUGUUGGGGGCCGGCCCGCACCCGGCGUCGGCUCCCCUAGGGGCGGCACAAAGAUGGAGGGCCUCGGCCUGACCCCAAGGCGGUUAUUGGCCGUUUACGGUGGGCUGGUGGCUCCAUUAAUCCAAUGCGACUCUUGCCCCGUGCCACUCUGCCCGCCGAAGCAAGCCCAUGAGAGGGAACACCACCAAAGCCCUUGAGACCGGGUAACCCAGACCAGGCCCGAGCCAGGCCUGCGGUAGCCGCUGGCGAUGCUCCGCCCUGUGAACUCAGCAGCGAGCUCCUGCGGACAUGUUCCUUGCGAGCCACGCAGGAUUUAUUCGGCCCCAUCCUUACACUGCUAGCCUUGAGCCAGGCUGACCUCGAACUCCCAAGCACUAGAUUAUAAGCAUGCCCUAUGAGAUUUCCUAUUUUUAUUGCCUUCUCACCGCCAUCCCAACUGUGGUUUGGGAAUUAAACCCAGGGGACUUAACUAGAGUUGGAGCAGUGUCCCCCGACACGUCCUAUCCCCAUUCUGUCCCGUUACUUCUCAUCUCCCUCAUCUGGUGCACCCCUGUGACCUGCAGCCAGCAGCUUCUACUGGGCUGCCAGCUUCGUGAAUAUGAACAGCCAUUUUGCCAACUUUAUCCAUAUAACUAGAUUUUAAAAAAAAACUGUCAGGGACUGUGCUUAGUGUUCACGGAUAAGAUCUCAAUUUCUACAGUGUCUUAGGGUUGUAGAAAUAAGGCAAGCUGGGAAGGAACGGCCUUAUUUGGUUUACAUUUCCAGAUCAUAGUCCAUCACUGGAGGAAGUCAGGACAGGAACUCAAACAGGACUGGAACCUGGAGGCAAGAGCUGAUAGAGGCUGUGGAGGGGUGCUGCUUGCUAGCUUCUAGCUUCACAGGGCUUGCUUCUCCGACUGCUUUAGUAUAGCACACAGGAUCAUAAAGGAUGGCCCUCAC